rnacentral:rRNA from 1 species
UGGGGAAUCUUGGACAAUGGGCGCAAGCCUGAUCCAGCCAUGCCGCGUGAGCGAUGAAGGCCUUAGGGUUGUAAAGCUCUUUCACCGGUGAAGAUAAUGACGGUAGCCGGAGAAGAAGCCCCGGCUAACUCCGUGCCAGCAGCCGCGGUAAUACGGAGGGGGUUAGCGUUGUUCGGAAUUACUGGGCGUAAAGAGUUCGUAGGCGGACUAGCAAGUUAGAGGUGAAAUCCCAGGGCUCAACCUUGGAACUGCCUUUAAAACUGCUAGUCUAGAGACCGGAAGAGGUUAGGGGAAUACCUAGUGUAGAGGUGAAAUUCGUAGAUAUUUGGAGGAACACCAGUGGCGAAGGCGGCUCACUGGCUCGAUACUGACGCUGAGGUGCG